rnacentral:rRNA from 1 species
CCUACGGGUGGCAGCAGUGGGGGAUAUUGCACAAUGGGGGAAACCCUGAUGCAGCGACGCCGCGUGGGUGAAGAAGUAUUUCGGUAUGUAAAGCCCUAUCAGCAGGGAAGAAAGAAGACGGUACCUGACUAAGAAGCCCCGGCUAACUACGUGCCAGCAGCCGCGGUAAUACGUAGGGGGCGAGCGUUAUCCGGAUUCACUGGGUGUAAAGGGAGCGUAGACGGCCGUGCAAGCCAGGAGUGAAAGCCCGGGGCCCAACCCCGGGACUGCUCGUGGAACUGUGCGGCUGGAGUGCGGGAGGGGCAGGCGGAAUUCCUGGUGUAGCGGUGAAAUGCGUAGAUAUCAGGAGGAACACCGGCGGCGAAGGCGGCCUGCUGGACCGCGACUGACGUUGAGGCUCGAAAGCGUGGGGAGCGAACAGGAUUAGAUACCCCAGUAGUC